GUAGGCUGAGAGCCCUGGCAUUGUUCCUUGGGUACAUUAGGACAGGCCACGCUUGGAAAACCUGCAAGUGGCUUCUACCUCACGCCCCAGACGGCUGCUGGAGCUCCGGCCAUAGUUCUACACUGCAGAUAGCAGAAGAGAAGGGCCCAGACAGAUGUACUCCCUCGCUUUAAGGACAUCUUCCAGUCGGAGUCGCCAACAGCCAGGAGGGAAUAUGCCCAGGUUUUAUUGUGACUACUGUGAUACACAUCUCACCCGUGACUCUCCAUCUGUGAGAAAGACGCACUGCAGGGGGAGGAAGCACAGAGAGAAUGUGAGGGAACUACCAGAAGUGGAUGGAGGAGCAGGCCCAGAGCCCGACUGACAAAACAACAGCUGCAUUUCAACAAGGAAAAAGACCUCCUACUCCAUUCUCGGCUCCUCCUCCUGCAGGGGCGAGGAUUCGACCUCCCCCAAUCUUCCGGGUCCUCCUCAUCCUGGUAUGAAGCCAGCACCCCAUCUGUGGGGCCCUCCCAUGAUGCUGAUGAUGUGUCGUCCUCCUCCUGGGAUGAUGCCCGGGGGAUGGGAGGUCACAUGCCAGUGAUGCCCGGGCCCCCAAUGAUGAGACCUCCUGCUUGUCCCAUGAUGGUGCCCACUGGUCCUGGAAUGACUCGACCAGACAGAUAAGGGUAGAGGGGAGUUUUCUUUCUUUCUUUCUUUCUUUUUAUUUCAGCUUUUGGCCGGGACUGGAUUUGAACCCGCCACCUCUGGCAUAUGGGGCCUGCACCUACUCCU